rnacentral:rRNA from 1 species
CACCAAAGCGACGAUGGAUAGGGGUUCUGAGAGGAAGGUCCCCCACAGUGGAACUGAGACACGGUCCAAACUCCUACGGGAGGCAGCAGUGAGGAAUAUUGGUCAAUGGUCGGCAGACUGAACCAGCCAAGUCGUGUGAGGGAAGACGGCCCUACGGGUUGUAAACCUCUUUUGUCGGAGAGUAAAGUACGCUACGUGUAGUGUAUUGCAAGUAUCCGAAGAAAAAGCAUCGGCUAACUCCGUGCCAGCAGCCGCGGUAAUACGGAGGAUGCAAGCGUUAUCCGGAUUUAUUGGGUUUAAAGGGUGCGUAGGCGGCGCGCCAAGUUAGCGGUGAAAUUUCCGGGCUCAACCCGGAGUGUGCCGUUGAAACUGGCGAGCUAGAGUACACAAGAGGCAGGCGGAAUGCGUGGUGUAGCGGUGAAAUGCAUAGAUAUCACGCAGAACCCCGAUUGCGAAG